rnacentral:rRNA from 1 species
AUUGAACGCUGGCGGCAGGCCUAACACAUGCAAGUCGAACGGUAACAGGAAGAAGCUUGCUUCUUUGCUGACGAGUGGCGGACGGGUGAGUAAUGUCUGGGAAACUGCCUGAUGGAGGGGGAUAACUACUGGAAACGGUAGCUAAUACCGCAUAACGUCGCAAGACCAAAGAGGGGGACCUUCGGGCCUCUUGCCAUCGGAUGUGCCCAGAUGGGAUUAGCUAGUAGGUGGGGUAACGGCUCACCUAGGCGACGAUCCCUAGCUGGUCUGAGAGGAUGACCGGCCACACUGGAACUGAGACACGGUCCAGACUCCUACGGGAGGCAGCAGUGGGGAAUAUUGCACAAUGGGCGCAAGCCUGAUGCAGCCAUGCCGCGUGUAUGAAGAAGGCCUUCGGGUUGUAAAGUACUUUCAGCGGGGAGGAAGGGAGUAAAGUUAAUACCUUUGCUCAUUGACGUUACCCGCAGAAGAAGCACCGGCAAACUCCGUG